rnacentral:rRNA from 1 species
GAUGAACGCUGGCGGCGUGCCUAAUACAUGCAAGUCGAGCGAACAGACGAGGAGCUUGCUCCUCUGACGUUAGCGGCGGACGGGUGAGUAACACGUGUAUAACCUACCUAUAAGACUGGGAUAAUUUCGGGAAACCGGAUCUAAUACCGGAUAAUAUAUUGAACCGCAUGGUUCAAUAGUGAAAUACGGUUUUGCUGUCAGUUAUAGCUGGAUCCGCGCCGUAUUAGCUAGUUGGUAAGGUAACUGCUUACCAAGGCGACGAUGCGGAGCCGACCUGUAAGGGUGGUCGGCCACCCGGGAACUGAGACAGGGUCACGACGACUAAGGGAGGCAGCAGUAGGGAAUCUGACGCAAUGGGGGAGAGUAUGACGGAGCAACGCGGCGUGAGUGAUGACGGUGCUCGGAGCGUAAAGCUCUGUUAUGAGGGGAGAACAAAUGUGUACGUAACUAUGAACGUAUUGACGGUACCGAAUCAGAAAGCACCGGCUAACUACGUG